rnacentral:lncRNA from 1 species
AUGGCAAACUUUUCUACCUAUAAAAGGGAGUCUUCUCUCGGCUAUAAAGCUAUAAAGAGAUCAAAUGACUUAUUCUCACGUCGGAGUCCAAACGCGAGAGGCCAUCUCUCGCGGUAAGUGAUCAAUGCAUUUUAGGUGCACUUGUUUGUACAAAUUAUUUAUAAAAUACAUUGAUUGUUAUUGUAAUACAUAUUAUAUUGAGUUGUUAUUGUUUUUUAUAGAUUGCAAGAGAUUAUUGGCUAGGGAAAGGUUCAUUUGAGAAGAAAAUUAAUUUGAGAAGAAAAAGAACAAAGAGUAUAAUUGUAAAACAUUAAAUAGUUUUUUUUUCAUCUCAUUUAUGAUUGUUUUUUGACUAAUUAAUUAGUCAUAAAGACUAUCAUCCUCCACAUUAAUUUUUUUGCCUACACGUAUCAAAAUUUAUCGUACACGUUUUGAAAUUUAUCCUACACAUAUUAAAUUUAUACUACACACCUCGUAAUUCAUCGUACACUUUAAAUUAAUUUUCUUUGUGUUCUUUGGAAAAAUAUAUUUUUUAAAAUAAGUUACAAAUUUAAUAUAGUUAGUUAUUAAAAAGAAAGACUACCAAUUAAUGAUCUAUUUAAGUUUACCAAUAUACCCUUACACCAAUAUUAAAUGCAAAAAUUAAAUGAAAUAAAAUGAAGAGUUCUUAUUGGUUGAAAUUUAUUCUCUUUUAUUCUUACAAAAAAUUUCUUCUCAUUUGAACUCUCCACCUAUUGGCUAAAAAGAUAAUUUUCAAAUAGAAAAUUAAUGAUUGCAAUAAAGGUUGUCUUAAAUGAAAAUUCUUGAUCAAAAGCACUAAUGAACGAUGAGUGACAAAUCAUGAGAGUUUAGAUUAUUGAUUGUAUUUAUGGUUAACAAAUAAAUUAACUCAAUUUAUAUUGUUUUGACAUAUUGUUUUGACAUAUUAUAUAACGCACAGACAAUUAUUUGUAGAGGGUUGUUUUUGAACGCAAGGAGAUUGCAAAAGAGAGGAGUUCGACAGCUGAAGAGUGGGACGCACUGGCGGCUGUACACGGUGCAAGCAUGAGCGACUAGGUGGUUUUUUUCAGGGUGACGGUUCCUAGGAUUCCGACUAGGAAGCUAUCAGUUGGAGUGGAUCCUGGAC